CCUUCGAUAGCUCAGUUGGAAGAGCGUGAGACUGUAAAUCUCAAGGUCGCUGGUUCGAUCCCGGCUCGAAGGA
rnacentral:tRNA from 2 species